rnacentral:rRNA from 1 species
GACGAACCGUGCGAGCGUUGUUCGGAAUCACUGGGCUUAAAGGGCGCGUAGGCGGCUCGUCACGUCAGGGGUGAAAUCCCGCGGCUCAACCGUGGAAGUGCCUUUGAUACUGGUGGUCUCGAGGGAGGUAGGGGCGUGUGGAACUUCCGGUGGAGCGGUGAAAUGCGUAGAUAUCAGGAGGAACACCGGUGGCGAAGGCGGGUCUCUGGGCCGAUACUGACGCUGAGGAGCGAAAGCGUGGGGAGCAAACAGG